rnacentral:rRNA from 1 species
GGGGAAUAUUGGACAAUGGGCGCAAGCCUGAUCCAGCAAUGCCGCGUGUGUGAAGAAGGCCUGCGGGUUGUAAAGCACUUUUGUUCGGGAAGAAAUCAUGCUGGUUAAUACCUGGUAAGGAUGACGGUACCGAAAGAAUAAGCACCGGCUAACUUCGUGCCAGCAGCCGCGGUAAUACGAAGGGUGCAAGCGUUAAUCGGAAUUACUGGGCGUAAAGGGUGCGUAGGCGGCCUUUUAAGUCGGAUGUGAAAUCCCCGGGCUCAACCUGGGAAUGGCAUUCGAUACUGGGAGGCUAGAGUUUGGGAGAGGGUGGUGGAAUUCCCGGUGUAGCGGUGAAAUGCGUAGAGAUCGGGAGGAACAUCAGUGGCGAAGGCGGCCACCUGGCCUAAAACUGACGCUGAGGCACGAAAGCGUGGGGAGCAAAC